CCUACGGGCGGCUGCAGUGGGGAAUAUUGGACAAUGGGGGGAACCCUGAUCCAGCCAUGCCGCGUGUGUGAAGAAGGCCCUCGGGUUGUAAAGCACUUUCAGUGAGGAAGAACGCCUGGUGGUUAAUACCCAUCAGGAAAGACAUCACUCACAGAAGAAGCACCGGCUAACUCCGUGCCAGCAGCCGCGGUAAUACGGAGGGUGCGAGCGUUAAUCGGAAUUACUGGGCGUAAAGCGCGCGUAGGUGGCUUGAUAAGCCGGUUGUGAAAGCCCCGGGCUCAACCUGGGAACGGCAUCCGAAACUGUCAAGCUAGAGUGCAGGAGAGGAAGGUAGAAUUCCCGGUGUAGCGGUGAAAUGCGUAGAGAUCGGGAGGAAUACCAGUGGCGAAGGCGGCCUUCUGGACUGACACUGACACUGAGGUGCGAAAGCGUGGGUAGCAAACAGGAUUAGAUACCCGAGUAGUC
rnacentral:rRNA from 1 species